rnacentral:rRNA from 1 species
GUAAAGUUCUUUUCUAUACGAGCAGUGCUAUAUAUAUGGAUAGUAUAUAUAGAGGGAUAGUAGUAUAGGAAUAAGCAACGGCUAACUCCGUGCCAGCAGCCGCGGUAACACGGGGGUUGCGAGCGUUGUCCGGAAUUACUAGGCGUAAAGGGCAGGUAGGCGGAUCUACGAGUUUUUUGUUAAAGGCUACGGCUCAACUGUAGUAGAGCAGGAGAUACUGUAGGUCUGGAAUGCGGUAGGGGAAGACAGAAUUCCUGGUGUAGCGGUGGAAUGCGCAGAGAUCAGGAGGAAUACCGAAGGCGAAGGCAGUCUUCUAGGCCGUAAUUGACGCUUAACUGCGAAGGUGUGGGGAUCAAACAGGAUUAGAUACCCUGGUAGUCCACACAGUAAACGAUAAUCACUAGAUGUCGGGUUCUAGAUGGAUUCGGUGUCGGAGCAAACGCGAUAAGUGAUUCGCCUGGGGAGUACGAUCGCAAGGUUGAAACUCAAAGGAAUUGACGGGGGCCCGCACAAGCGGUGGAGCAUGUGGUUUAAUUCGAGGCAACGCGAAGAACCUUACCCGGUUUUGACAUCCACGGGAGGCUUCAGAGAUGGAGCUGUGCCGGCGUAAGCUGGAGCCGUGAGACAGGUGCUGCAUGGCUGUCGUCAGCUCGUGUCGUGAGAUGUUGGGUUAAGUCCCGCAACGAGCGCAAUCCUUGCCUUCAGUUACCAUCAUUAAGUUGGGGACUCUGGAGGGACCGCUGCGGUAACAACGCAGAGGAAGAAUCCCGCGGCCAUGGCGGCCGGG